rnacentral:rRNA from 1 species
UACGAAGGUUCCAAGCGUUAUCCGGAUUUAUUGGGUUUAAAGGGUGCGUAGGCGGCUUAUUAAGUCAGUGGUGAAAGCUCCAUGCUUAACGUGGAAAUUGCCAUUGAUACUGAUGAGCUUGAGUAUAUUUGAAGUGGGCGGAAUGUGUCGUGUAGCGGUGAAAUGCUUAGAUAUGACACAGAACACCGAUUGCGUAGGCAGCUCACUAAACUAUAACUGACGCUGAGGCACGAAAGCAUGGGGAUCAAACAGG